AACGAACGCUGGCGGCAGGCCUAAUACAUGCAAGUCGAACGAACCUUCGGGUGAGUGGCGCACGGGUGCGUAACACGUGGGAAUUUACAUUUAGGUAAGGAAUAACGCAUGGAAACGUGUGCUAAUACCUUAUAAUGACUUCGGUCCAAAGAUUUAUCGCCUAGAGAUAAGCCCGCGCUAGAUUAGGUAGUUGGUAGGGUAAGAGCCUACCAAGCCUACGAUCUAUAGCUGGUCUGAGAGGAUGAUCAGCCACACUGGAACUGAGACACGGUCCAGACUCCUACGGGAGGCAGCAGUAAGGAAUAUUGCGCAAUGGGGGAAACCCUGACGCAGCCAUGCCGCGUGAGUGAAGAAGGCCUUAGGGUUGUAAAGCUCUUUCAGAUGCGAAGAUAAUGACGGUAACAUCAGAAGAAGCCCCGGCUAAAUUCG
rnacentral:rRNA from 1 species